GACACCUUUGUGAACAUUUGAUCUCAAAUCAGGUAGGACUACCCGCUGAACUUAAGCAUAUCAAUAAGCGGAGGAAAAGAAACUAACAAGGAUUCCCCUAGUAACUGCGAGUGAAGCGGGAAGAGCUCAAAUUUAAAAUCUGGCGUGCCUCUGGUCGUCCGAGUU
rnacentral:rRNA from 1 species